CGCUUGCAUUGACUGACAGUAGGGGGGAGCGUGAUGAUCAGGAACCCUUGAGAUUGUUCGAGGAUAUGAAUAGAGCGAUGGGUGGUGGCGGUGCCUAUUGGGACGAGGUGGCACCUGCUUUAGACGAGGCGGGGCAUGUGUUUGAUCCGCUUCCAUUGAGGAAGACUCUAAUUCGUUUUGCACGGAGAGUCCAGGGAGNNNNNNUUCCACGGCAGAAGCGGCGGCGGCUGCGACAGCGAGUGGUAACGAGGAUUGUGAUCGGGAG
rnacentral:misc_RNA from 1 species